rnacentral:rRNA from 1 species
AGUGUAGGCGGCUACCUAAGUCGGAUGUGAAAGCCCUGGGCUCAACCUGGGAAUUGCAUUCGAUACUGGGUAGCUAGAGUUUGGUAGAGGUAAGUGGAAUUCCGGGUGUAGCGGUGAAAUGCGUAGAUAUCCGGAGGAACAUCAGUGGCGAAGGCGGCUUACUGGACCAAAACUGACGCUGAGGCUCGAAAGCGUGGGGAGCAAACAGGAUUAGAUACCCUGGUAGUCC